AGACAAAUGAGAAUGAUGGUGAUGGAAAAGAUGGUUCUUUAUCUUCCAAUGAAUUACAUUAUAAAGCACCCGUGGAGCAGCAUGGUGAGCCAGUUAGACAGGGUGUUGAAGUUGUUGAUGAGACUAUUAAACAAGUUAGUGAGGGUGAGCCUGAUAAAUCUGCUGAUGAUCAAGUAAAUAGAGCUUCUAAUCAGAGUUCUAAGGAGGAUCAUGAUGCUCAUCACUAGAGUUGUCAUUUUCAUUGAGAUUAUACCUUUAUGGAGAAGAUUAGGAAGACCCCUAUCUGGAUAUUUUUGUAAAUUCUUCCGUUUGGUGCCAUUAGCUCGGUAGUUAGUAUAUUGGUCAUUUGCUUCUAGCUUUACCAUCACGAACUGAUGCUCAGAAUGUGAAUAUCUUGACUAUGCUAAACAUGUUAGAAGUGAGAAUACCAUGACU